GAUGAAGAACGUAGCGAAAUGCGAUAAGUAGUGUGAAUUGCAGAAUUCAGUGAAUCAUCGAAUCUUUGAACGCACAUUGCGCCCUUUGGUAUUCCUUAGGGCAUGCCUGUUCGCGCGUCAUUUGAAACCUCAAGCUCAGCUUGGUGUUGGGUGUCUGUCCCCGCCUCACCGCGGGGACUCGCCUCAAAAUCAUUGGCGGCCGGUACGUUGGCUUCGAGCGCAGCAGAAACGCGAACUCGAGGCCCGGCGGAUCGGCGACCAGAAGUCACUUCUUCACAGUUUGACCUCGGAUCAGGUAGGGAUACCCGCUGAACUUAAGCAUAUCAAUAAGCGGAGGA
rnacentral:misc_RNA from 1 species